rnacentral:lncRNA from 1 species
AAUCUCUAUCAAAUGUGGUUUUUAUUUCAACUGACAAGCACUUUUCUACAGCUGCACUUGUGGAACAUCACAUGGCAAAAACAGGAGUUUUUUUCUCUAGACCUUUUUUUUUUCUUUUUUAAACCUUAUUAAAAAUGAGAUUGGUCCUAAAAAUAUAGAAAGAAAUAAAUUUAAAUUCACAAAAAACUGUACAUUAUCAAAAAGUCACUAAAACACCACAUUUGGUUAUAUAAAAAGUCAAGUCCCUUUUGUUGUAAAAGGAACAUGGAAACUUGUUGGUGUUGAUGGUGUGGUUUCUUCCUGUUACCAGACUGAUAGAGGGGAGGGGGGAACCAGGGGCAGGGGUGGGUUUUAUUAUUAUUUUUUAACCUGCCUUCCCUACCAAAUACUCUCAUUUGUCAAGAAGAGAAAAUCCACCUAGCUCAAGGGGCAGUGAAGAUGAGGAAAGAAACACGAGAAAUGGCCCCUUUGAUCAUGCCCUACCCCCACCCCCCUUUCAGCCCCAACUUCUUCAAACUGAGGCUGGGACGCCACCCCACCUCGAGUGCCUGGUCCCUAGGGAAAGAGGUGGCGCUAGGAGAGGAACACAAGGAACACGGAGCCUUCACUCCCCCCGUCCACCUCGCCUCCAACAAUAAAAUUAGUACAUUUUAUACCAGGGGAAAACUGCCAGGGGGCAAAAAGAAGAGCCCCCAACUAGAACAGUUCCAAACGUUUGACUAACACAAACUUUGUUACAGCGCAGUUAUUUAGAUAAAAUAUAAAUAUUUAUGCAUAAUAUAAAGUCAAUUCAAAUAUUCUUCAAUCCUCUUAAAAAGCAAAAAAAAAAAAUCUCAAAUAAAAUUAAAAGUUUUGAGGUUUAUCUGACAGAAAAGGCGACUUUAGAAAUAGGCCAUGGAGGAGAAGGGGGGCAAAAGGAAUCAGAGGGGCUGCCCAGCGCCUCCCGCCCCGCCCCCAGGGCCAUCCAGUGCUGCCAGUACAGGGAAUGCUCCGCCUCGCCGGCGCCCCUCCCCCGCCCCGACGCCGACGCCUCCGCUCUGCUUGGGAGGCCAGCAGCCCCUCCCCAGUGCAAGUACCCGUAUCUCUGGUGGGAGGGGCUCUGCCGCCAGGAGAGCAGGGGGCGGGCCGGGCCGGAGCGGGAGUUAGCAGCUUUCCUCUCACGUGCUGGGGCUUAAGGGGCGCGGUCACAGGUAGGGCAGUGGUGGACCCCCGAACCCCCUUCCCGGCUCUCCUGUGCUCUGCGGUCGCUGCUGCUGCUGCUGCUGCUGGGGAAGGGGUCCCGGGCUUGAAGUAGGUAAGGGAGGAAAAAGCACAACUAAACCCACAGAAGCUCAUGGGAUUAGGAAAAGAUCCAGUUCUACCCCUCUCCCCGCACGAGCUUAGGGCGAGCUUAGGGCUCGAAGCUCCGACAGGAGAGGGGGUUCCUGCUGAAAGAUUGCACAGUUUGAAGAGGCUGGAACAGAAAUGCCUGGGAGAGAGGAGACACAGCCUUGUACCCAGAAAAACUGCUCCUGUGGUUUCCCGAGGACAAAAAUGUGAUGGUUUGAAACACUAGGGAAGGUGGGAAUAAAAACAGACACUUGGGCAACCUGGAUGCCAUCACACAGCACAGGGCACAAGCACAGCGAUCCCCGCCCUCCCCCUCCCCCCACACCACACACACACACAGAGACACACACACACACCUCUGAGGCCAGCUGAUUGCUACCUGGCCUCCAUCUUGGGAGUGCGCCCAAACUCAGCAGUAGUUGUCCCUGAGGAGUUCCCAAGAGGGAGGUUUGGGUAAGAGGCGGGGAAGGAGGCCGGGAGGCCUGGGGUCAGGGUGCCUCCCUGCCCUCUCCCCAGCUACCGGGUUUCACAAAAGGCCAGAAACUCAGCACGUGAGGAGUAUCCAACAUGACAGAGGGGACAGCUAUUGGCAGGAAGAUGAGGACAGAGAGAAAGACAGGGACCUCUGAACUUCUUUUUCCUUUGAGGGGAAAAAAGAUCUGGGGAGAGAAAAAAGGGUAGAGGAACCCGUACAUGAUAGAUUUACAUUAUUGGAUGAGAGAAAAAUCUUAAAGGAGGAAGAGUAGGAAAAGGAAAAACUGAGAAGGUGAGAAGCAGGGAAGGGACUGAACAUGGAAGCAGCAUGUUCAGGGCCCGGUGUCCGGCUCGACACACUUGGGAGUUAAGUCCACUUUACUGGCCGUCACUGCGGGUCCACACACAGUACAGAGUGUUUCUCGGUUUCACACAUUCACUAGAACUAUUGCUAUUGUUAAAUAGCCCCAGGAUGCUGGGGCACGUACAGGGAAGGAGAAGCUGGGAGGAGGAAGCAGGGACUUCUUUCCUCCUCCUCUUUUUAAAUUAGGAAAUAAAACAGAAAGGAAAAAUUCUUUCUUUCUUUUUUUUUUUUUUGGCUUUCAGUCCAGAAGGACCUCAUCUCUGC